GGAAUUGGGUGCUAGGGAAGG
rnacentral:miRNA from 1 species